rnacentral:lncRNA from 1 species
CACUGGUCAAGGAGUGAGGUACGUAAUCUGUAUUAUCUAUCAAAACUAUUGUGAUUUAUAUAUAAAAAAAAAAGGUUUGUUCAUGGAAAAAAAACGCAAUUUGUUCAAAACAUUACUGAAGCUUAUCUGUAAAAUGAUAACAGCACUUUAUAAAUUCAAAUUUGGAAGCAAAACGAGUAAGAAAAACGUUUCGAAUCAAUUUCUUUUGAUGUCAGCUAGACUUAUUAUUUUGGUAUGUAUUUCUUAAACAAGCCUUUACUGUCUUUUUUUCAGAUAAUAAAUAUCUUACUUUGACUAAGAUAUGGCAUACAUGUAUCGUAUCUAAAAGUUGAUUUGUCUACGAAAUAUGAAAAAAAAAAUAUUGUUUGUUCAAUCACUAAUAUAAGUGAAAUAAAGAGUACAUAUAUAAUUCGCUUUCAGAUAUAUAGGAGUCAGUUUACUUCAAUUUAGUCAAAAUAAGUUAAUACAAAAAUAUCGCUGAUGCAUUAUUUACUUGCAAGUGAAUAAUUUGACCUCAUUUAAUUCUUAUUAAUGUGACCUUCAAUUUAACGCCUUAGCUUGAGAUUGGUUACGCAUGUAUUUGUCUAUUUAAAGGAAAUUGUCGACAUUGACAGUGAAACAAGGAUAACCCGUUUGGCUGACUGAUUCGUUCAAAUGAGGAACAUACUUUUAACCUCCAAAUGAAGUAAACCUGAAAAAAUCUGAUUGCACGUGGUCGCUAUCCAUUUAUUUAAAUAAAUGUAUACAUUUAAAAAAUGUAUGUUUAUAUCGGGUUACAUGACCGUCAGCAAUCUCCGGAGGUUAUCUUGGUGUUCAAUUAGAUGAAAUUAGGCAGAAAUACAUGUGCAAUACUGAUUCAUAAUUAUCAUCGAGUCCAUGUAUUGUUUAUGGUUUAUUUUCGACUUUUUGUUAUUGGAAUAUGCGUUUAAGUAUGUUAUAAAUCACAGAUGAGAGUUUGUUUUAAAUCGGUCAACACAGGUAAUAUAAUGCCCUUUUAAACAUCUAUUUAGAAGGAAUGAAGACAUCAGCAUAACUGGGCCCCGUUCAACGUUUGUUUGCGUGGAGCAAUUUAUAUAUAGCACUAUGUCACAUGUUUUUAAAAUUAUAUGAAGUUGACGAAUUUCUAUUUUAAUACAAGCCUUUACUGUCUUUUUUCAGAUAAUAGAUAUCUUACUUUGACUAAGAUAUGGCAAACGGAACCUGUCACGCAUGGAUUCAAAAAUAUAUAAAUGGGAAAAAUAUUACGCUAGAUUUUCUUAAUGAACUACACGUAAAGAGGAAUUUUGGCGGGAUUACUAUGUUGACCAUCUUUUCUGUAAUUGGUGUUAUUGGCAAUGCGCAUGUUUUAUACGUAUACUUCCGGUACUUCAAAUAUUCAAACUAUAGGAUAUAUGUUUUAUUUCUCGGCAUACUUGAUUUUAUUAACUGUGGUUUUGCUGCCCCUUUAGUGGUAUUUUACUUAUUGUAUCCUCUAAACUAUCCAUCGCAUUCAUUCUGUAAAAUUUUCAGGACGAUUCUUUAUUUUAUGGCAAUAGCAAGCACGUUGUUGUUAGUGUCCAUAGCAAUUGAAAGAUUUCGAAAAAUCCGAUAUCCGCUUAAGGAAAGGUUAUCUGCAACUGCUGUGAAAGGACUCUGUAUUGGAAGUUUAGUAGGUGCUGCUGUUUUAUCCUGGCCUGCGCCAAUAAUAUGGGGAUUGGGAACAGUUGAAACUGGGAUUCCAGGCUUUCAAGGAAAACGAUGCUUCACCGAAGACAGAUUUCAGAACUACAAUACAAAUUAUCAAGGAAUUUAUAACGCGUGUUUGAUUUUGUUUUAUUUCAUUGUCUCGGCUACCUUGAUGGUAAUGUACAUUUAUAUCGGAAUAAAGAUACAUACACAAUAUGAGCGCGAUAGCUCACGGCGUGAUAGCUUACAGCCUGGAACAUUUAAUUGUAAAGAAUCAAUCAAAUCAAACAAGAACAAUACCCGGAAGUCGACAAUCACAUUGUGCGUGGUCACUUUUACAUAUGUACUGAGCGCACUGCCCCAUCAUAUGUUAUCAUUUUUUAUUUUUCUUAUUCCAGAUUUUGACUGUUCAUUAAGUUUGAUAGGUUCACAGCUAUAUUAUACGUUUGUAUGGUCUUACUUUUUCAAUAGCGUUGUUAAUCCGUUCAUUUACGGAAUUCGAGACCGGAAGUUUAGGUUGGCAGUGAAAAACAUUUAUAAACGGAAAUGCUAGUCAUAUACAUAUAAAAUGAACGAACAUUAAGGAGGUAGACCUAGGUUAAGGGAAAUAACUCUUAAAAUCAUCAGUACGUUUGUGUCAACCAUUUUCAAAAACAUAUUCUAAGCUUCUAGGUUACAUAGAUUAUUUUUAAUCUGUUUCAGGUAAAUGCUUAAAAAACAUUGAUGAACUUGACUUUUACAAACGCUUAACUGAUUUAAAGAGUUAUCUCCCUGAACCAAGGUCUACCCCCUUAAGCUUGAAAAUUAAAAGAAACACAAUGAGAAAAGACACAUGUAAUAAUUUUAGUAACUUGUACAGCUUUAGGAAGAUGGUUACUCUAAUAGUGUUCGCAAGAAAUAAUAUUUCAUAAAUGAUUACAACAGGAAUGAAGCAUAGCAGAAUUAAAUGUAUAUACAGGAUGGUUGUGAAAUGUGAUGAAUUUACAAAUAGC